rnacentral:lncRNA from 1 species
AAUGCUGGGCGAAGGCUCCGAGCCACGAGACCCCCGCCUCCUGUCCCGGGACCCACCCAGGCGGAGGCAAGGGCAGGGGCGCUGGGGGCCCAGAGAGAGGGCGCCGCGAUGGAUGAAUGAGCUGUUUCCAGCAUUCCUGCUUCAACUCAAAAUUUUCCUUCAUGGCACAGUGGAAAGCUUUGAAGACGGCGGUUCUGGGGCUGAAUAUGAAGGCAACUCGGACUAAGAAGACGACUGCUUUCCAACUGCCCUCCCGUCCUGCAGCCGCCUGAUUUGAGGAAGGGGCUGGGAUCCUUCCCCUUGCCCUCUGGUUGUUCUUGGAGUUACAGCAGCCCCGCGGCAGCUCUGCCCCCUAGUGCACAUGUGAGGCAGCGCGCCCUUCUCCAAUCCAGAAGCCUCGUCGCGGUGCUGCCAGCAAGGGAGUUUUUCUGUAUUCACUUUGGUGGAAAUAGCAAAACUUGACAGAAAAAAAACCCAAGCCAAACCAA